rnacentral:tRNA from 1 species
GGAGCGCUGGCAGAAUGGUAAUGCACUCGCCUCGAAAGCGAGCGCCCGAAAGGGCUUGGGGGUUCGAGUCCCUCGCGCUCCG